CUUUCAUUAGGAACAGAUGUGCAAAUCGAAGCUAUCACAGGAACUCGCUAUACAGCAGUCCAUGAGAGAAAUUAGAUGAGGAGUGAUCUCUGGAAGCACAACCCAGUCAUCCAGCAUAUGCACACCUGUUUGUCAAUAGGCAGCACAGCAGGGAUCAAACAGCAAGAGGAAACACUUGUGCUCUCAGACCUCCUUCCAGUG
rnacentral:lncRNA from 1 species